ACUGGGCAGAGUUGGUGGGUCAGGACUGACUGGAGCUGGGGAACUCCACCAACUGGAAGUCUUAUGAGGCAGUUCCUCCGUGAAGGGGAAUAUCUGUUUCACCUAGGGGCAGAGGAUGAUUCUGGAGGAGCUCAGUAGGGUGUAUUCAGAUGCAGACCAACAAGAUCACUACCAUCCUGAUCUGGUGGCAGCAGCACCUUCCCAUGCACAUGAGUUGACAUGGCCAGCUUUUAGCCACCUAAACCCAACAACCAAAGAUAACCAUCUCCUAGCUGUGGACAUCUAGCUCUUUGUGAUGAAUGCACAUGGAUACCUGUGGAAACUCUGACUUCUCACCUCGGCCAGGAACCCCCUGCCCAAACCUCAGUAUCUGAACAACACAUGAUUGAUUUAUACUCUGAGUGAAAUGCUGAACAGCAGAGAAGAAAUACAGAGAUUUGUUAGUAGUUUCUGGUAGAUUGGUCCUGGCACAGUGGACACCAGUUUAACUUUGUUACCGUAUCACACACACUUAUCCACUGUCAAGUCACAUCGUCCUAAUACAAAAGAAGAAUGAGCAAAAGAGAUAAAACGUGACUCUGGAGCCCCAUGCAGAGUGGCAGUGCCGUGUGACUGCUGUGCAACAGUAUCUUCUCUUAAGUACUGCUUACCAUUGCCAUGGAUUAUCUGGCCUCGAUACAGUACCGCUCACCAGUCCCGGAGCCGCAAGAAUAACAAGACGGCUUUACUCCAUUUCUAAUCUUUAGUUUUGAGCCCUUCUCAACAGAACGUCUUUAGGCAUUUUGAGGCCCCUUUGCUCAGAACUCCUACCUCCAUUUCAAGCACCUGCCAGGAUCGAUGAAGACUGAAUGAGACCAUUCUUUUCCCCAAACUGACACAGCAAUUUAAUGCUGAUCAUGUGAAUCCCCAGGGGAGGAAGGGAUGCACAUGUGGCACAGGCUGGAGGUGGUGUGUAAGUUUGGCUUAAACUCAAGCAGAGUGGCCUCAACGUCUGUCCCCUUAAGAUACCACUCUGUCUCCACAGUCAUAGAUUGCUCCAAUCCAAACUAAAU